rfam:Gossypium raimondii Chr07_contig_1098, whole genome shotgun sequence.
UGUUAAAAUUUAUGUCCAUUUCUAUUAUUAAAAACUGACUUGGUUGACAGAAUAAUGUGUACCUUAUGUUAAUGUAUAAUGACUAGCUUUUAAUAAUAGAAAUUGAUGUAACUUUUAACA